rnacentral:rRNA from 1 species
UACAGAGGGUGCAAGCGUUGUUCGGAAUUAUUGGGCGUAAAGCGCGUGUAGGCGGCUUUGCAAGUCGGGUGUGAAAGCCCUCAGCUCAACUGAGGAAGUGCGCCCGAAACUGCAGAGCUUGAGUGCCGGAGAGGGUGGCGGAAUUCCCCAAGUAGAGGUGAAAUUCGUAGAUAUGGGGAGGAACACCGGUGGCGAAGGCGGCGUUCUGGACUGCAACUGACACUGAGGAGCGAAAGCCAGGGGAGCAAACGGG